rnacentral:rRNA from 1 species
GACGAACGCUGGCGGCGUGCUUAACACAUGCAAGUCGAACGGUGAAGCGCCUUCCUUUUUGGUGGGUGUGGAUGAGUGGCGAACGGGUGAGUAACACGUGAGUAACCUGCCCCCUUCUUCUGGAUAACCGCAUGAAAGUGUGGCUAAUACGGGAUAUUCUGGGUCUGUCGCAUGAUGGGUCUGGGAAAGAUAUUGUUUCGGUGGGGGAUGGGCUCGCGGCCUAUCAGCUUGUUGGUGGGGUGAUGGCCUACCAAGGCGGUGACGGGUAGCCGGCCUGAGAGGGUGGACGGUCACACUGGGACUGAGACACGGCCCAGACUCCUACGGGAGGCAGCAGUGGGGAAUAGUGCACAAUGGGCGAAAGCCUGAUGCAGCGACGCCGCGUGAGGGAUGGAGGCCUUCGGGUUGUGAACCUCUUUCGCCAGUGAAGCAGGCCUGCCUCGUUUGUGGGUGGGUUGACGGUAGCUGGAUAAGAAGCGCCGGCUAACUACGUG